rnacentral:rRNA from 1 species
UACGAAGGGGGCUAGCGUUGCUCGGAAUCACUGGGCGUAAAGGGUGCGUAGGCGGGUCUUUAAGUCAGGGGUGAAAUCCUGGAGCUCAACUCCAGAACUGCCCUUGAUACUGGCGGUCUCGAGUCCGGGAGAGGUGAGUGGAACUGCGAGUGUAGAGGUGAAAUUCGUAGAUAUUCGCAAGAACACCAGUGGCGAAGGCGGCUCACUGGCCCGGUACUGACGCUGAGGUGCGAAAGCGUGGGGAGCAAACAGGG